rnacentral:rRNA from 1 species
AUUGAUUUUAUGCUUGCAUAAAUGAUUUUUGGAUUCGGAGCGAGUGGCGAACUGGUGAGUAACACGUGGGUAACCUGCCCCGAAGCGGGGGAUAACAUUUGGAAACAAGUGCUAAUACCGCAUAAUUAGUUGGAACCGCAUGGUUCCAACUUGAAAGAUGGCUCUGCUAUCACUUUGGGAUGGACCCGCGCCGUAUUAGUUAGUUGGUGAGAUAAAAGCCCACCAAGACGAUGAUACGUAGCCGACCUGAGAGGGUAAUCGGCCACAUUGGGACUGAGACACGGCCCAGACUCCUACGGGAGGCAGCAGUAGGGAAUCUUCCACAAUGGACGAAAGUCUGAUGGAGCAACGCCGCGUGAGUGAUGAAGGUUUUCGGAUCGUAAAACUCUGUUGUUAAAGAAGAACAAGUGUUAGAGUAACUGUUAACACUUUGACGGUAUUUAACCAGAAAGCCACGGCUAACUACGUGCCAGCAGCCGCGGUAAUACGUAGGUGGCAAGCGUUGUCCGGAUUUAUUGGGCGUAAAGCGAGCGCAGGCGGUUUUGUAAGUCUGCUGUGAAAGCCCUCAGCUCAACUGAGGAAGUGCAGUGGAAACUACAAAACUUGAGUACAGAAGAGGAAAGUGGAACUCCAUGUGUAGCGGUGAAAUGCGUAGAUAUAUGGAAGAACACCAGUGGCGAAGGCGGCUUUCUGGUCUGUUACUGACGCUGAGGCUCGAAAGCAUGGGUAGCGAACAGGAUUAGAUACCCUGGUAGUCCAUGCCGUAAACGAUGAAUACUAGGUGUUGGAGGGUUUCCGCCCUUCAGUGCCGCAGCUAACGCAUUAAGUAUUCCGCCUGGGGAGUACGACCGCAAGGUUGAAACUCAAAGGAAUUGACGGGGGCCCGCACAAGUGGUGGAGCAUGUGGUUUAAUUCGAUGCUACGCGAAGAGCCUUACCAGCUCUUGACAUCUUCUGCCAACCCAAGAGAUUGGGCGUUCCCUUCGGGGACAGAAUGACAGGUGGUGCAUGGUUGUCGUCAGCUCGUGUCGUGAGAUGUUGGGUUAAGUCCCGCAACGAGCGCAACCCUUAUUAUUAGUUGCCAGCAUUUAGUUGGGCACUCUAGUGAGACUGCCGGUGAUAAA